GCCGGGCGUGGUGGCUCACGCCUGUAAUCCCAGCACUUUGGGAGGCCGAGGCGGGUGGAUCACCUGAGGUCAGGAGUUCCAGACCAGCCUGACCAACAUGGAGAAACCCCGUCUCUA
ensembl:misc_RNA Metazoa_SRP Metazoan signal recognition particle RNA